rnacentral:rRNA from 1 species
GUGCAGCAGUCGCGCAAACUUUGCAAUACACGAAAGUGUGACAGGGCUAUCCCGAGUGCCGUCCGCUGAGGGUGGCUUUUACCCAGUCUAUAAAGCUGGGAGAAUAAGGAGAGGGCAAGUCUGGUGUCAGCCGCCGCGGUAAUACCAGCUCUCCGAGUGGUGUGGAUGUUUAUUGGGCCUAAAGCAUCCGUAGCUUGCCAAGCAAGUCCCCUGUUAAACCCACCGAAUUAAUCGUUGGAUUGCGGGGGAUACUGCUCGGCUAGGGGACGGGAGAGGCCGACGGUAUUUCCGGGGUAGGGGUGAAAUCCUAUAAUCCCGGGAAGACCACCAGUGGCGAAGGCUGUCGGCUAGAACGCGCCCGACGGUGAGGGAUGAAAGCUGGGGGAGCGAACCGGAUUAGAUACCCCCGUAGUCC